AUUUUUCUCUUAACGUCUCAGGUAGAACUUGGCGGCUCCUGCUCCUGCCUUCCACCACCACCCUGUCCCGACUGCUUCCACUAGAGAGUUGGCAACCUUAGUGAUGAUGCCAAGCAGUCCGAUGGCAGACGGCAAGAUGCAGGUUGCUGCGAAAUUUUACCCGAGCUGGGCCACACACUUGAGCCAGGCCUCUUGGAAAGGAUGCCAUAAUCAGACUCCACGCGUCGAUGUCAGAGGAUGCCAGGGAUCAAGGCAACCUGUUGUGCCCCACUAUUCAAUGUUUGGUGACCCUUCUAUGUGUUUCACCUAUUUCGCAGCUGUACCUCGGCUGCCAUCUAUCCAAACAGCAUCGCCAGCUGUGCCCACUU